rnacentral:tRNA from 1 species
ACUAUAUUAGUAUAACACAGUACAUUUAACUUCCAAUUAAAAAGUUUAUUAAAAUAUAG